rnacentral:lncRNA from 1 species
UUUAGCUUUUAAGAACCAAUUUUGAUGGGAGUACAGACUUCCCCCAUUUUCUUGAUGAGUUCUCUCCGUCAUGUGUAGUAAUAAUGUGAGAAUUUGCAGUUUUUAGUUGUAGCCUAUACUUUUAGGUCUUUGUGCCAAUUUGAAAGUUAUUGGGUUAGAGUAUUCAUAGACAUUUUCAUGGUACUUAAAGGGACAGGGGUUUAGUAAAAAGACACAUGGCAAGCCAGGCUUUUUCCACAGUUUGCCAGGCCCAGCUGCCUCUUGUGUACCUGAACAGAUUUUAUCAUUAACCCUUGUUUAUGUUGUUUUGUUUUAUUUCGACGAAGGCUUAUUUUAAGUCAGGCAUGGAAAACUAGACUUCAGACUGACUUCAGCUUUAAGGACAUGUUUAUCCCGUUAACAGGGAGUCUGGGAUAGACAAUCUCCAGGCUUUGUUUUUCUCUGAAUUUCUUAGCUCUGCUUGUGAUGGCUUCAUCAUCAGGCCACAGACCAUUAACACAUUCUAGAACUUUAACAUUGGUUAAAUAAUACCAUCUAAUAGCCUGUCUUCAGCAUUUCCCCAGUUGCCUCCAAAUGCCCUUCAUAGCUGUUCUCUGCCUCUGUUUGUUUUUAAUCCAAGAUACACUCAAGGCUCAUAUAUUAGGUUGACAUAGCUCUUUAGUAUCCUUUAAUUUAAAGCAGUCUCCAGGUUUAGAGAAAGAUGAAUGAGCUUUCAC